AUUGAACGCUGGCGGCAGGCCUAACACAUGCAAGUCGAGCGAGCGGCGGACGGGUGAGUAAUGGCUGGGAAACUGCCUGAUGGAGGGGGAGAACUACUGGAAACGGUAGCUAAUACCGCAUACCAUCAGAUGUGCCCAGAUGGGAUUAGCUAGUAGGUGGGGUAACGGCUCACCUAGGCGCCGAUCCCUAGCUGGUCUGAGAGGAUGACCAGCCCACCUGGAACUGAGACACAGUCCAGACUCCUACGGGAGGCACCAGUGGGGAAUAUUUCACAAUGGGCGCAAGCCUGAUACAGCCAUGCCGCGUGUGUGAAGAAGGCCUUCGGGUUGUAAAGCACUUUCAGCUGGGAGGCGUUCCCCGCAGAAGAAGCACCGGCUAACUCCGUGCCAGCAGCCGCGGUAAUUC
rnacentral:rRNA from 1 species